GUCAGGAUGGCCAAGUGGUCUAAAGCGCCAGACUUAAAUUCCGAAUGGAGGCGUGGGUUCAAAUCCCACUUCUGACA